CAGGCCUAACACAUGCAAGUCGAGCGGUAGAGAUUCUUCGGAAUCUUGAGAGCGGCGUACGGGUGCGGAACACGUGUGCAACCUGCCUUUAUCAAGGGGAUAGCCUUUCGAAAGGAAGAUUAAUACCCUAUAAUAUAUUGACUGGCAUCAGUUAAUAUUGAAAACUACGGUGGAUAAAGAUGGGCACGCGCAAGAUUAGCUAGUUGGUGAGGUAACGGCUCACCAAGGCGACGAUCUUUAGGGGGCCUGAGAGGGUGAUCCCCCACACUGGUACUGAGACACGGACCAGACUCCUAGGGGAGGCAGCAGUGAGGAAUAUUGGACAAUGGGUGGAAGCCUGAUCCAGCCAUCCCGCGUGUAGGAAGACGGCCCUAUGGGUUGUAAACUACUUUUAUCUGGGGAUAAACCUACUUACGUGUAAGUAGCUGAAGGUACCAGAUGAAUAAGCACCGGCUAACUCCGUGCCAGCAGCCGCGGUAAU
rnacentral:rRNA from 1 species